rnacentral:tRNA from 14 species
AGCCUUAGCUCAGUUGGUUAGAGCGCCUGAUUGUGGAUCAGGAGGUCCCCCGUUCGAG